rnacentral:rRNA from 1 species
GGAUGAACGCUAGCGGCAGGCCUAAUACAUGCAAGUCGUACGGCAACACAGUUGCGAGCAAUCGCAACCGGUGGCGAGUGGCGCACGGGUGAGUAACGCGUAUGUAACCUACCCUUCUCCGGGACAUAACUCCGCGAAAGCGGUGCUAAUAUCCCAUACCAACUCAUCAAGACAUCUUCUUGAGUUGAAAGCAGCAAUGCGGUGAAGGAUGGGCAUGCGUCCCAUUAGCUGGUUGGUGAGGUAAUGGCCCACCAAGGCUACGAUGGGUAGGGGUUCUGAGAGGAAAGCCCCCCACACUGGUACUGAGACACGGACCAGACUCCUACGGGAGGCAGCAGUAAGGAAUAUUGGGCAAUGGGCGAAAGCCUGACCCAGCCAUGCCGCGUGAAGGAAGACGGCCUUAUGGGUUGUAAACUUCUUUACUACGCGAAUAGAGGUUAGUACGAGAUACUAAUAGGAAGGUAGUGUAGUAAAAAGCACCGGCUAACUCCGUGCCAGCAGCCGCGGUAAUACGGAGGGUGCAAGCGUUAUUCGGAAUUACUGGGUUUAAAGGGUGCGUAGGCGGUUAAAUAAGUUGUCAGUGAAAGGCUACGGCUCAACUGUAGUAGUGCUGGCGAUACUGUAUAACUAAGGACAUGGGAGGGGUACCUGGAAUGUGUGGUGUAGCGGUGAAAUGCGUAGAUAUCACACAGAACACCGGAGGCAAAGGCGGGGUACUAGACCAUAGUUGACGCUGAGGCACGAAAGCGUGGGGAUCAAACAGGAUUAGAUACCCUGGUAGUCCACGCCCUAAACGAUGAUCACUAGAUAUUGGCGACAGACAGUCAGUGUCCAAGCGAAAGUGAUAAGUGAUCCACCUGGGGAAUACGGCCGCAAGGUUAAAACUCAAAGGAAUUGACGGGGGCCCGCACAAGCGGAGGAGCAUGUGGUUUAAUUCGAUGGUACGCGAGGAACCUUACCUGGGUUAGAACGUAUGAUAGAUGUAGCUGAAAGGUUACAGACCUGCGAGGGAUAUCAUACGAGGUGCUGCAUGGUUGUCGUCAGCUCGUGCCGUGAGGUGUUUGGUUAAGUCCAGCAACGAGCGCAACCCCUACCUUUAGUUGCCAGCAGGUAAAGCUGGGGACACUAGAGGGACUGCCUGCGCAAGCAGAGAGGAAGGUGGGGAUGACGUCAAAUCAGCACGGCCCUUAUGUCCAGGGCUACACACGUGCUACAAUGGUAACUACAGAGGGCAGCGACUAGGCGACUAGGAGCGAAUCUCGAAAAGUUAUCUCAGUUCGGAUUGGAGUCUGCAACUCGACUCCAUGAAGGUGGAUUCGCNNNNNAUCGCGCAUCAGCAAUGGCGCGGUGAAUACGUUCCCGGGCCU